rnacentral:lncRNA from 1 species
UAGAGGAACCAACCCCAGUUGUAGAAAGCGAAUCCGUCGUCGAAUCAGCACCAGCACCAGCACCAGUAGAAGAGCCUGCUCCCGCUGAGGAAGCAGCCCCUGCUGCCGAAGAACCCGUGGCUGCAGCAGAACCUGCAGCCACAGAAACAGAGGAGCCAGUUGCGGCAACUGAGGAACCAGUUGCGGCCCCAGUCGCGGAGGCUGAACUUGAAGCAGCCCCUGUUGAGGAACCAGAAACAGAGAAAGCUGUCCCUGUAGCAGAGGAAUCAGCUCCAGUAACUGAAGAAGCAGUGGCUGAAGAAACUACAAAUGCAGCAGCUGAGGAACCAGUAGCAGCAGCAGAAUCUGUUGAAGAGAAAGCAGUUCCAGUGGAGAAAGCUGAAGAGUAAAUUCUACUGGAAACUGUCUAAG